rnacentral:rRNA from 1 species
GUUGAACGCUGGCGGAAUGCUUUACACAUGCAAGUCGAACGGCAGCACGGACUUCGGUCUGGUGGCGAGUGGCGAACGGGUGAGUAAUGUAUCGGAACGUGCCCAGUCGUGGGGGAUAACGUAGUGAAAAUUACGCUAAUACCGCAUACGAUCUAUGGAUGAAAGCGGGGGAUCGCAAGACCUCGCGCGAUUGGAGCGGCCGAUAUCAGAUUAGGUAGUUGGUGGGGUAAAGGCCCACCAAGCCAACGAUCUGUAGCUGGUCUGAGAGGACGACCAGCCACACUGGAACUGAGACACGGUCCAGACUCCUACGGGAGGCAGCAGUGGGGAAUUUUGGACAAUGGGCGAAAGCCUGAUCCAGCCACUCCGCGUGCAGGAUGAAGGCCCUCGGGUUGUAAACUGCUUUUGUACAGAACGAAAAGGUUUCUACUAAUACUAGGAGCUCAUGACGGUACUGUAAGAAUAAGCAUCGGCUAACUACGUGCCAGCCGCCGCCGUAA